rnacentral:rRNA from 1 species
UAAGCAUAUCAAUAAGCGGAGGAAAAGAAACCAACAGGGAUUGCCCUAGUAACGGCGAGUGAAGCGGCAACAGCUCAAAUUUGAAAUCUGGCCUCGGCCCGAGUUGUAAUUUGCAGAGGAAGCUUUAGGCGCGGCACCAUCUGAGUCCCCUGGAACGGGGCGCCACAGAGGGUGAGAGCCCCGUAUAGAUGGACGCCUAGCCUGUGUAAAGCUCCUUCGACGAGUCGAGUAGUUUGGGAAUGCUGCUCAAAAUGGGAGGUAAAUUUCUUCUAAAGCUAAAUACCGGCCAGAGACCGAUAGCGCACAAGUAGAGUGAUCGAAAGAUGAAAAGCACUUUGAAAAGAGGGUUAAAUAGCACGUGAAAUUGUUGAAAGGGAAGCGCUUGUGACCAGACUUGCGCCGGGCAGAUCAUCCGGUGUUCUCACCGGUGCACUCUGCCCGGCUCAGGCCAGCAUCGGUUCUCGCGGGGGGAUAAAGGCCCCGGGAACGUAGCUCCUCCGGGAGUGUUAUAGCCCGGGGCGUAAUGCCCUCGCGGGGACCGAGGACCGCGCUUCUGCAAGGAUGCUGGCGUAAUGGUCAUCAGCGACCCGUCUUGAAACACGGACCAAGGAGUCAAGGUUUUGCGCGAGUGUUUGGGUGUAAAACCCGCACGCGUAAUGAAAGUGAACGUAGGUGAGAGCUUCGGCGCAUCAUCGACCGAUCCUGAUGUUUUCGGAUGGAUUUGAGUAGGAGCGUUAAGCCUUGGACCCGAAAGAUGGUGAACUAUGCUUGGAUAGGGUGAAGCCAGAGGAAACUCUGGUGGAGGCUCGCAGCGGUUCUGACGUGCAAAUCGAUCGUCAAAUCUGAGCAUGGGGGCGAAAGACUAAUCGAACCAUCUAGUAGCUGGUUACCGCCGAAGU